GUAGUAUUGUGGUAUCUCCAUCCUCUGAUUGGGCGUUUAGUAUAAGUUGCCUGAAUGACUCGUAUAUUGUUGGAUCAAAAAAUGCUAAAUCGUAAAAUUUAAUUUUUCUUCCUAAUAUAAAUUUUAAUACAUGUCGUUGCAAAAAAAGGGGAAGCAAUUCAUUUUGCAGCAAACAUAGUCCGACUAAUCUGAAAUAUAAUUUCAGUUUUGCUUAAUAAUUAAAACAGAUAAAACAAACAAUAAGAGAAAACAUUAACUUCGAUUGCACCUAUCCAAGCAUUGCCUCAAGCAAUAAUACUCUUGACAGACCAUAAAAAAGGACAGCCCAUUCUACGCUUCUGAAUUGACCUCGAGUUAAUCCGCCCAAAACCAAAUGCCGUUAUUUCGGCGAUCCAACCCUCCUUGGAUUGGUAAGCUUUAGCUUAAGUUUAUCACAUCCUCCUGAUCCUUGUUGGAUCAAAUUAAGUCCAACUCAGACCCGAAGGAAUUUUUCUGCAGUGUUUGUACCAAACUGCUCCAUUCAACUUCGGUUAGGUGUAAUACAUGUAAUGGAUAGAGCUAUCUUAAGAUCUGUCAGGCCUUAAGACACAUAGGAAUUCGCCCACACUUUAUUUGGCGAAAUAUUGCCAACGCACUACUGCAAAAAUGGCCUCUACGACCCUGAAAAAUGCGGUCCCAAGGAGCUCAACUAGCAAGCUUGACUUCCCAAUCAGUCAAUAUAUAAAAUAGGUUUUUUACCCAAUUUCCAUUUUCUAUUAAUGCUACUUGGUAGCAGUUCUAGUUUUUCGAUAUUCUAGCCAACCAGCACAAAAUUAAAAACCGUAAUACUAUAAAAAGUUGAAGUUCGCCAACCAAGGAAGAACUAACGAAAGAGCUCCAGAAGUCCAUUGCGUGAGCGGGGGCAGUCUUGCCACAUUUUAAACUUGAACCGACAGUAGUGGUAGUAAAGCGACAGAGGUCAACUGAAGAGGCUAAGUCGUCAGCCAAAAGACCGAAAACUAAGGGUGUGACACCAGCAUAAUCAUUUGCUGCUGCGGCCUGGAACCGAAUUGCAGUGUUGGAAAAGGGAGAUCCCGAAGGAAAAAUUUCCAGAGCCCAAUGGAAAUGGGUGCAAGUUGCGCUGACAGAUGUGACACUGGAGGGGCUACUAAGAAAUCCGGAUCAGCCACCGACAUGCAGGAAACUAGCUCCAAUAGCCCUAAUUAACCGUCUGGCAAUAGAACAGACUGAGUUUGUCCUCAUUCAGGAGCCAUGGCUUAAUGGAGGGCGCAUUUGCGGACUGAGGACACCGAACUAUAAGCUAUAUAUGGCAAAUUAUGAAGCACUAAGCUGGGAGACGGGAGGAAGUGUUUACCGACUGGUGCCAGGUUAUAUGCCAUACUAUGAGGAGCAAGUACCAUCUGAGGUGGCAAAAGAGUUGGUACGGGAGAGCGAGGGAUCCAUAGCUGAUUAUACUUGGAUGUGACACAGACGUCAAUGAUAGAGGUGCACGAGCUACGUAUGAGCUGGAAAAAAUAAUAGGCACAAAUUUAGAUAUUCAUUGAAGUGAAAUAAAAACCAUUAUUAAAUUAAGAAAAUCGAGAAAAGCUAUUCGUGGAAUAACGGACAUAAUGGAAUUCUACAAAAAUAUGGUCUGUAAUGCCUUCAAAACACGCGUAAAAAGGGAAAAAAGAAGACGGAAACGAAAAAAAUGGCACAGUUUGACCAUUUGCUGGCAGUGCAACCAAAAAAGGUUCAAUUUUUAUCUUCUGAAAAUAUUAAAAAUUUACUAAAUGCCUCAGUGACCAGUCGCACAGUUAGAAACCGACUUCGAGAAGCUGAUCUAACUAAAAUAAAUGCAAGAACAGUUCCGUUUUUAAACAAACAAUCUGUAAAAAAGAACACCGGUCACGACUUGUACUAAUAUGGUCAGCUAAAUGCCCCGAAAAAGGAUUUAAAUGGAAGAAAAAUAAUAAUUAAAUAAAAUGACACAAAAAAAUUAACUAAUGUUUGUCCCUCUUUUUACUUCCAGGCUGAUAUACAAAAUGUAUCCGUUUUCACUUUGUAAACUAAAAUAAACCUUAAAUAAGUACUCAGAU